UGGGGAAUAUUGCACAAUGGGCGAAAGCCUGAUGCAGCGACGCCGCGUGAGGGAUGACGGCCUUCGGGUUGUAAACCUCUUUCGACAGGGACGAAGCGCAAGUGACGGUACCUGUAGAAGAAGCACCGGCCAACUACGUGCCAGCAGCCGCGGUAAUACGUAGGGUGCGAGCGUUGUCCGGAAUUACUGGGCGUAAAGAGCUUGUAGGCGGUUUGUCGCGUCGUCUGUGAAAACUCACAGCUCAACUGUGAGCUUGCAGGCGAUACGGGCAGACUUGAGUACUGCAGGGGAGACUGGAAUUCCUGGUGUAGCGGUGAAAUGCGCAGAUAUCAGGAGGAACACCGGUGGCGAAGGCGGGUCUCUGGGCAGUAACUGACGCUGAGAAGCGAAAGCGUGGGUAGCGAACAGGAUUAGAUACCCUGGUAGUCCACGCCGUAACGGUGGGUACUAGGUGUGGGUUUCCUUCCACGGGAUCCGUGCCGUAGCUAACGCAUUAAGUACCCCGCCUGGGGAGUACGGCCGCAAGGCUA
rnacentral:rRNA from 1 species